rnacentral:rRNA from 1 species
ACGUAGGGAGCGAGCGUUGUCCGGAUUUACUGGGUGUAAAGGGUGCGUAGGCGGCGAGGCAAGUCAGGCGUGAAAUCUAUGGGCUUAACCCAUAAACUGCGCUUGAAACUGUCUUGCUUGAGUGAAGUAGAGGUAGGCGGAAUUCUCGGUGUAGCGGUGAAAUGCGUAGAGAUCGGGAGGAACACCAGUGGCGAAGGCGGCCUACUGGGCUUUAACUGACGCUGAAGCACGAAAGCAUGGGUAGCAAACAG